rfam:Streptomyces sp. ERV7 Contig_4, whole genome shotgun sequence.
GCCGGUCCUCGGUAGUGGCCUCCGGGGAGACAACGCCCCCGGAUGCUUCGAUCGAAGACCGGC